UACGCUAACAUGCUAACACAUCAGGACUAUGUCAGGUACGCUACGCUAACACGCUAACACACCAGGACUAUGUCAGGUACACUACGCUAACAUGCUAACACACCAGGACUAUGUCAGGUACACUACGCUAACAUGCUAACACACCAGGACUAUGUCAGGUACGCUACGCUAACACGCUAACACAUCAGGACUAUGUCAGGUACGCUAACAUGCUAACACAUCAGGACUAUGUCAGGUACGCUACGCUAACACGCUAACACAUCAGGACUAUGUCAGGUACGCUACGCUAACACAUCAGGACUAUGUCAGGUACGCUACGCUAACACAUCAGGACUGUCAGGUAUGCUACGCUAACAUGCUAACACAUCAGGACUAUGUCAGGUACGCUACGCUAACACGCUAACACAUCAGGACUAUGUCAGGUACGCUACGCUAACACAUCAGGACUGUCAGGUACGCUACGCUAACACAUCAGGACUAUGUCAGGUACGCUACGCUAACACAUCAGGACUAUGUCAGGUACGCUACGCUAACACGCUAACACAUCAGGACUAUGUCAGGUACGCUACGCUAACACAUCAGGACUGUCAGGUACGCUACGCUAACACAUCAGGACUAUGUCAGCUACGCUAACACAUCAGGACUAUGUCAGCUACGCUAACACAUCAGGACUAUGUCAGC